rnacentral:rRNA from 1 species
CCAAAAUCUUACUUAAGUGGAAAACGAUGUGAAGUUACUUAACCAACCAGGAGGUGGGCUUAGAAGCAGCUAUCCUUUAAAAAAAGAGUAAUAGGUCACUGCUUUUGUGAAUUUGCGCGGCAAAUAAAACGGGGCAAGCGUAAGUACCGAAGCAGUAGGCUUAGUUUAAUAGGUGGUAGGAGAGGGUUCAAUUUGCGACGGCGGGAUACCGGUAAGGAGAGGUGGAGCGAGUAGAAGUGAGCAUGCAAGCAUGAGUAGCGAUAAUUAAUGUGAGAAUCAUUAACGCCGUAAACCCAAGGUUUCCUACGCAAUGCUCGUCAUCGUAGGGUUAGUCGGGUCCUAAGUCGAGUCCGAAAGGGGUAGACGAUGGCAAAUUGGUUAAUAUUCCAAUGCCAGCAAUAGUGUGCGAUGGAAGGACGCUUAGGGCUAAGGGGGCUAGCGGAUGGAAGUGCUAGUCUAAGGUCGUAGGAGGU